rnacentral:rRNA from 1 species
AGAGUUUGAUCAUGGCUCAGGACGAACGCUGGCGGCGUGCCUAAUACAUGCAAGUCGAGCGGAGUUGAUGGGGUGCUUGCACUCCUGAUGCUUAGCGGCGGACGGGUGAGUAACACGUAGGCAACCUGCCCUCAAGACUGGGAUAACUACCGGAAACGGUAGCUAAUACCGGAUAAUUAUAUUCGCUGCAUGGCGGAGUUAUGAAAGGCGGAGCAAUCUGUCACUUGAGGAUGGGCCUGCGGCGCAUUAGCUAGUUGGUGAGGUAACGGCUCACCAAGGCGACGAUGCGUAGCCGACCUGAGAGGGUGAACGGCCACACUGGGACUGAGACACGGCCCAGACUCCUACGGGAGGCAGUAGUAGGGAAUCUUCCGCAAUGGGCGAAAGCCUGACGGAGCAACGCCGCGUGAGUGAUGAAGGUUUUCGGAUCGUAAAGCUCUGUUGCCAGGGAAGAACGUCUCAUAGAGU